rnacentral:rRNA from 1 species
ACUCAAAUGAAUUGACGGGGGCCCGCACAAGCGGUGGAUCAUGUGGUUUAAUUCGAAGCAACGCGAAGAACCUUACCUGGGUUUGACAUCCCUUUGAACAUUUUUAGAGAUAGAAGUGGGCUCGCAAGAGACAGAGGAGACAGGUGCUGCAUGGCUGUCGUCAGCUCGUGUUGUGAAAUGUUGGGUUAAGUCCCGCAACGAGCGCAACCCCUGUUUUUGGUUGCCAUCAUUUAAGUUGGGCACUCCAGAAAGACUGCCGUCGUUAAGACGGAGGAAGGUGGGGAUGACGUCAAGUCCUCAUGGCCUUUAUAUCCAGGGCGACACACGUGAUACAAUGGUAGGUACAGAGGGUAGCGAAGUAGCGAUACGGAGCCAAUCUCAAAAAGCCUAUCUCAGUUCGGAUUGAAGUCUGCAACUCGACUUCAUGAAGUUGGAAUCGCUAGUAAUCGCGGAUCAGCACGCCGCGGUGAAUACGUUCCCGGGCCUUGUACACACCGCCCGU